GACGAACGCUGGCGGCGUGCCUAAUACAUGCAAGUUGAGCGCUGAAGGUUGGUACUUGUACCAACUGGAUGAGCAGCGAACGGGUGAGUAACGCGUGGGGAAUCUGCCUUUGAGCGGGGGACAACAUUUGGAAACGAAUGCUAAUACCGCAUAAAAACUUUAAACACAAGUUUUAAGUUUGAAAGAUGCAAUUGCAUCACUCAAAGAUGAUCCCGCGUUGUAUUAGCUAGUUGGUGAGGUAAAGGCUCACCAAGGCGAUGAUACAUAGCCGACCUGAGAGGGUGAUCGGCCACAUUGGGACUGAGACACGGCCCAAACUCCUACGGGAGGCAGCAGUAGGGAAUCUUCGGCAAUGGACGAAAGGCUGACCGAGCAACGCCGCGUGAGUGAAGAAGGGUUUCGGAUCGUAAAACUCGGUUGGUAGAGAAGAACGUUGGUGAGAGUGGAAAGCUCAUCAAGUGACGGUAACUACCCAGAAAGGGACGGCUAACUACGUG
rnacentral:rRNA from 1 species